GACGAAUGCGAUGCUUUCCUUCGUUUUCUGUUCCAGAGCGCGAAGACAGAGAGACGGAGGGAGCAUCAGUUUUGUGCAUCCAUUGCCGACCAAGAUAAAAGAUGUUACGGAGACCAAGAAAGAACAACCACCUGCUUUCCUCUCUGCAGUUCAAGGACUGGGGAUGGGAGAGAAACAAAAGGAUACCAAGGAGACCCAUGUUUCUAUGUCGCUUGAUAAGCUCAGAGAGCAAACUAGGGAGGCUGUUAAGGGAUUUUGAAGAUUGGGUCAAGCAGGAAAGAUAUCGAACCAAAAAGGUAGAAGUCCAAGCUUUUGUUUGGCAUGUACUCAUAGAUCAGCAUUUGUUCAUCCCUCUCAAUGCAAAAUCCCAAAAGCCGCACGAGAUUUACAUGUUGCAGUUUUGCAGUUCACAGUUGGGAAAUUCCAGGAGCCAAAUUGUUGCUAUAUUGGCAAAUUUUGUUAUUGUUAGAUAUCCACAGGAGUGCUAGACCUAAUCAGGUCGCCUCCUAGUAAGAGGAUCUUCAUUUGUUGGUUUUGCAUGGGGUUGCUUAGAAGUGAUCUUCAGAUUUAAUUGGCUUGGCUGACCUUAAAAUGGAUGUCUAUAUAAUACAUACUUUAUAACAAGUUAUUUGAUCUCUUUACAGUAAUCAGCACCUCAUUUCCAGAAGUGUUUAAUCUCCAGUAGUCAGUACCUCAUACCAAGAAUGUGUUUCAUAUAUUGGUGAACUUUGGGGAUGUAACAUAUGACGCCUAUUUUCAAGGAUGCUUUUGGGGCACCGAGCCUUCCUUCCAGGACUGUCAAUCUGGGAAACCAUUCAUACCACAUGAGAAGCUAGGAGGGAGAAACCGAAACAGGAGGUUGGGAAGAACCAGAAGAGGCAUAGAUCACCGUAUUUUGGGUAUAGCUUGUUGACGGUCUGGUAUGCUUUCUGUAGAGGAUUUUCAGAAGGUUCUUUAUAUUCUUAAGUUGUAUCUUUAUCCAAUGAAGGAAUUGUUUCACUUGGUGCUGGAAUUCUAUAGAGCAGUCAGCUCAUCUCAGAAGGCCCGCUUCCUUCGUUUUAUUUACACGAGAUUCCUGGUUUUUUUCCUCUUCUUUUAUUGAGCCCCGGCCCCCUCUCAUAGACAAAGGGCAGGGUAAUAACAGGGGUCCCAAUUGUAGGGAAUCCGGAUCCGUUCAUGUAGACGUUUCCUUCGAUAAAGUACAUCAUUUGACUGAAAUCAGAUUAUUGUCAAUCAAAACCCAAACAGUGAAAAAAGAA